AGAGGGAGAGAGAGAAGCACGCUCCCCACUGAGCAGGGAGCCUGAUGCAGGACUCGAUCCCAGGACCCUGCGAUCGUGACCUGAGCUGAAGGCAGAUGCUUAACCGACUGAACCACCCAGGGAAAGGAGAAUCCAUCCCAGUAUGUGAAACUAUACAGAAAAAAAAGACUACACCAACCUGAAUAUGUGUUGAUUCCAAGGGCUUUCCCACGCAAACCUCCAUCUCCGAGUAUGCUAUCUGGGAGACCCAAGGUGUGAAAUAUGCCCCAUUGAAUACUCAGGAGUCAAACGUCUUGAUGACAUUGCCAAUUGACAGUAAGUUCUAGCAGCUAUUACUACACUGAAAUGUAUCCUGAUCACUUAAUCGAUAUAAAUGUUA